AGUGAACGCUGGCGGUAGGCCUAACACAUGCAAGUCGAACGGCAGCACAGUAAGAGCUUGCUCUUACGGGUGGCGAGUGGCGGACGGGUGAGGAAUACAUCGGAAUCUACUUUUUCGUGGGGGAUAACGUAGGGAAACUUACGCUAAUACCGCAUACGACCUACGGGUGAAAGCAGGGGAUCUUCGGACCUUGCGCGAUUGAAUGAGCCGAUGUCGGAUUAGCUAGUUGGCGGGGUAAAGGCCCACCAAGGCGACGAUCCGUAGCUGGUCUGAGAGGAUGAUCAGCCACACUGGAACUGAGACACGGUCCAGACUCCUACGGGAGGCAGCAGUGGGGAAUAUUGGACAAUGGGCGCAAGCCUGAUCCAGCCAUACCGCGUGGGUGAAGAAGGCCUUCGGGUUGUAAAGCCCUUUUGUUGGGAAAGAAAAGCAGCAGGUUAAUACCCCGCUGUUAUGGCGGUACCCAAAGAAUAAGCACCGGCUAACUUCGUG
rnacentral:rRNA from 1 species